AUUGAACGCUGGCGGCAUGCCUUACACAUGCAAGUCGAACGGAUCAGAGGAGCUUGCUCUUCUGGUUAGUGGCGAACGGGUGAGUAAUGCAUCGGAACGUACCCAGUAGUGGGGGAUAACGUAGCGAAAGUUACGCUAAUACCGCAUACGACCUGAGGGUGAAAGCAGGGGCUCGCAAGACCUUGCGCUAUGGGAUCGGCCGAGGUCGGAUUAGCUAGUUGGUAGGGUAAAAGCCUACCAGGGCGACGAUCCGUAGCUGGUCUGAGAGGACGACCAGCCACACUGGGACUGAGACACGGCCCAGACUCCUACGGGAGGCAGCAGUGGGGAAUUUUGGACAAUGGGGGAAACCCUGAUCCAGCCAUGCCGCGUGAGUGAAGAAGGCCUUCGGGUUGUAAAGCUCUUUCAGACGGAAAGAAAUCUUCCGGGCUAAUACCUCGGGAGGAUGACGGUACCGUAAGAAGAAGCACCGGCUAACUACGUGCCAGCAGCCGCGGUAA
rnacentral:rRNA from 1 species